AUUGAACGCUGGCGGCAGGCUUAACACAUGCAAGUCGAGCGGGGGAAGGUAGCUAGCUACUGGACCUAGCGGCGGACGGGUGAGUAAUGCUUAGGAAUCUGCCUAUUAGUGGGGGACAACAUCUCGAAAGGGAUGCUAAUACCGCAUACGUCCUACGGGAGAAAGCAGGGGAUCUUCGGACCUUGCGCUAAUAGAUGAGCCUAAGUCGGAUUAGCUAGUUGGUGGGGUAAAGGCCUACCAAGGCGACGAUCUGUAGCGGGUCUGAGAGGAUGAGCCGCCACACUGGGACGGAGACACGGCCCAGACUCCUACGGGAGGCAGCAGUGGGGAAUAUUGGACAAUGGGGGGAACCCUGAUCCAGCCAUGCCGCGUGUGUGAAGAAGGCCUUAUGGUUGUAAAGCACUUUAAGCGAGGAGGAGGCUACUUUAGUUAAUACCUAGAGAUAGUGGACGUUACUCGCAGAAUAAGCACCGGCUAACUCUGUGCCAGCAGCCGCCGUAA
rnacentral:rRNA from 1 species